rnacentral:miRNA from 1 species
UUUGCGACUGUAUCCAAAACCCA